UACGAAGGGGGCUAGCGUUGUUCGGAAUUACUGGGCGUAAAGCGCGCGCAGGCGGUCUUCCAAGUCAGUGGUGAAAGCCCCGGAGCUCAACUCCGGAACUGCCAUUGAAACUGUUAGACUUGAGGAUGAGAGAGGUGAGUGGAAUUCCCAGUGUAGAGGUGAAAUUCGUAGAUAUUGGGAAGAACACCGGUGGCGAAGGCGGCUCACUGGCUCGAUUACUGACGCUCAGGCGCGAUAGCGUGGGGAUCAAACAGG
rnacentral:rRNA from 1 species